rnacentral:miRNA from 1 species
AUAUGUUGAGGUAGAUUGAGGUGU